rnacentral:misc_RNA from 1 species
AGCAGCCGCGGUAAUUCCAGCUCCAAUAGCGUAUAUUAAAGUUGUUGCAGUUAAAAAGCUCGUAGUUGAAUUUCGGGAUCAAUAUGUUGGUCGUGCCUCGGUACGUACUAGCAUAUUGGUUUCUCCUUUCUGAAGAACCAUGAUGUCAUUUAUUUGGUGUCGUGGGGAAUCAGGACUGUUACUUUGAAAAAUUAGAGUGUUUAAAGCAGGCUCACGCUUGAAUACAUUAGCAUGGAAUAAUGAAAUAGGACGUUUGAUUCUAUUUUGUUGGUUUCUAGGAUCGACGUAAUGAUUAAUAGGGAUAGUUGGGGGCAUUAGUAUUCAAUUGUCAGAGGUGAAAUUCUUGGAUUUAUUGAAGACUAACUACUGCGAAAGCAUUUGCCAAGGAUGUUUUCAUUAAUCAAGAACGAAAGUUAGGGGAUCGAAGACGAUCAGAUACCGUCGUAGUCUUAACCAUAAACUAUGCCGACUAGGGAUCGGAUGAUGUUAAUCUUUAAUGACUCAUUC